CCAAUAGCGUAUAUUAAAGUUGUUGCAGUUAAAAAGCUCGUAGUUGAAUUUCGGGAUCAAUUUACUGGUCGUGCAAUAGUACGUACUGGUUUUAUUGGUUUCUACCUUCUGAUGAACCAUGAUGCCAUUAAUUUGGUGUCAUGGGGAAUCAGGACUGUUACUUUGAAAAAAUUAGAGUGUUUAAAGCAGGCUCACGCUUGAAUACAUUAGCAUGGAAUAA
rnacentral:rRNA from 1 species